rnacentral:rRNA from 1 species
AGUGAACGCUGGCGGUAGGCCUAACACAUGCAAGUCGAACGGCAGCACAGUAAGAGCUUGCUCUUACGGGUGGCGAGUGGCGGACGGGUGAGGAAUACAUCGGAAUCUACUUUUUCGUGGGGGAUAACGUAGGGAAACUUACGCUAAUACCGCAUACGACCUACGGGUGAAAGCAGGGGAUCUUCGGACCUUGCGCGAUUGAAUGAGCCGAUGUCGGAUUAGCUAGUUGGCGGGGUAAAGGCCCACCAAGGCGACGAUCCGUAGCUGGUCUGAGAGGAGGAUCAGCCACCCUGGAACUGGGACACCGUCCAGGCUCCUACGGGAGGCAGCAGUGGGGAAUAUUGGACAAUGGGCGCGAGCCUGAUCCAGCCAUACCGCGUGGGUGAAGAAGGCCUUCGGGUUGUAAAGCCCUUUUGUUGGGAAAGAAAAGCAGCAGGUUAAUACCCCGCUGUUCUGACGGUACCCAAAGAAUAAGCACCGGCUAACUUCGUG